UUGCACUUUAAUUUCUUCAUACAUUAAGAAAAGUACUUUAUUAGGCUUUUCUAUGCUUUGUUUCCAAUAAUCCAACACGUGAUUCCAAAAUGGACCAAAAGGCACCACCCCUUCACAAAAAAAAUCAAACAUUUCUUCAAUGGUAGUGGUAUCUUUAUGAUGAAGUCUUAAAUUGUUUGCAAAAUGCCACAUAGAAAUAAAAGUGUCCCUAGGAUUUCUACAUAAGUAAACGAGUUUGGUUCUUGAAUCUUGAACAAAAUUUGGUAAUGAAGUAAAUGGCAAAUGAGUUGACAAGAGUCUAGGUGAAGUGGAGGAUGACAAAUUAGGGUCAUGACCAUCAGCAUAGAGUCUAAAUUCCAAGGAUGGCACAAGAUCAUGAGGGUUUUUGACAAGUAAAGGGUGAUUUUGUUCAAAAAUAGGAUAUUUCUUUCGAUUUAUUAGGGCAAAUAAAAGUGAUUUUAACCAAGUGGUUCCUGAUUUAGGAUUUGUAACAAGGAUGAUAUCACUAUCUUGAGCUUGAAAUCGUUGUUGACAUGAAAUCACACCUUGAAGAAUUCUUGAUUCUAUCCAAAACCCUUGGUAUUUGUAGAGAUUUGAUUCAAUCCAUCCUUUUUCUUUGGGUAGUACAGAGAGUAAUUUCUUACACUCUUCACUUAGAUCAUCCUCUUGUAAAUAUUUGGGAAGAAGUAGUGGAGAAGUUUGAGAUGUUGUCAUGAUUUUGAGGAUUGAGUGUUUUCUUCUAGUUUGUAUGAUAGAAGGUUUUCUCAUAAGGGUAUAUAAGGGUAUAUAUAUAGAGAGAUGAAAUUGAACUUAUAUGAUACUAACAAAGUUAUUGCUGUGGGUUGUUUCAACUCCCAAAGGUGUGGUAAUGAAGAAAAAAUAAUUUGAAAAACGGUAAGUAAAUUUUGAUCAUUAUAUAUUAAUGUCAUUGUUUAUUUAAUAAAAAAAAAGUACUAUAAAUUCUUAAUGCAUCAAAAUGUUUUUUAUAGUUGAAUAUUGAUAAAAUAAUAACAAAUGAAAGAUGUUCAAAAUUUUAUUAAAUAAUUUUGAUUUAAUAAUUAAAUAAUUUUUUUAUUAAAUGGAGGAUCAGACUUAGUUGAAUCUUGUUCAAGAUUUUUUCUUCCACACUCAAAUAAAUCAAAAAAAAUUAUUAAUCAAGAUGUUCUGCUUGGAGGAUUAGGCUUAGUUGAAUCUUGUUACAUUCUUGUGUUUUUUUUUUUUCUAUUUUUCAGUGUGGAAAGGAAGCCUUGAAGUCACUGGUAAAGUUGUUUUCAAGUGACCUAAAGGUCACGGAUUAAAGACGUGAAACAAUUUCUUGCAUAAAUAUACGAUAAGACUGCAUAUAAUAAAUCAUUGUGAUCCGAACCUCAAACUUCAGUGAACCAAACUGUUCCUUUUUUAAUGACCGUGCUUUGAGCUCAAUUUAUUGCUACAUUUUUAGGUAGAAAGAUCCUACAUGCAUUCAAUGAUGCAUUCAAUACUUUGUGCGCAUAUGGUUGUAUGUCCUGUGUGCCCAAAGAAAUAUUUAGAGUGGUUGUGAUCUUCAAUGAUAUGAUUUGAUAUGUGUGGAGUUGAUUUGUUUAAACGCUGCACCUCUCCAGUUGUCUAAUCUCUCUCCUUUUAAUGCUAUAUUGUGUGUGUAAAUUCAAAAUGUGGAUGAUGAGUGGUGUGAACUAAGUUGAUGAGACACUUUAAAUAUUUCUAUAAUUUUGUUGGAUUCUUCAAAAUAAACAACUUUUAAAGAAUUCAACGUGCAUUUUAGAAAAGUGCGAACGACAUAAAUUAUGUGUGACCGAUAUAAUUUUGUCGGAUCCUUCUAACUUUUGUUCAAUAAUAUGGUUGAGUUUCAGACUAUCUCUUUAGUAAAAAAUAAUCCUUCCAAUCUCCAACUUUCCCUUAAUGAAAGAACACUUUAUAUUCUAUUCCAAUCGAUGACGAUUUUUCAUUUUUAUUCACCUCCAAAUUACUCAAAUUCUCAAAGCUACACGUUCUUAAUAUUUGAUGAUCCAUCACUCCAUGAUUUUCUUCCUCUAUAGAAAAUGAACAUUUCAAGAAUUCAGCCAAGCGUUUAAGCUGAAGUUCGCGUUGCUCUUUAAUUUUUUUCAUACAUCAGGAAAAGUACUUCAUUAGGCUUUUCUGUGCUUUGUUUCCAAUAAUCCAACACGUGAUUCCAAAAUGGACCAAAAGGCAUUACCCCCUCACAAAAAAAAUCAAAUAUUUCUUCAAUGGAAUAGGUAUCUUUAUGAUGAAGUCUUAAAUUGUUUGCAAAAUGCCACAUAGAAAUAAAAGUGUCCCUAGGAUUUCUACAUAAGUAAACGAGUUUGGUUCUUGAAUCUUGAAC
rnacentral:lncRNA from 1 species